GACGAACGCUGGCGGCGUGCCUAAUACAUGCAAGUAGAACGCUGAAGAGAGGAGCUUGCUCUUCUUGGAUGAGUUGCGAACGGGUGAGUAACGCGUAGGUAACCUGCCUUGUAGCGGGGGAUAACUAUUGGAAACGAUAGCUAAUACCGCAUAACAAUGGAUGACACAUGUCAUUUAUUUGAAAGGGGCAAUUGCUCCACUACAAGAUGGACCUGCGUUGUAUUAGCUAGUAGGUGAGGUAAUGGCUCACCUAGGCGACGAUACAUAGCCGACCUGAGAGGGUGAUCGGCCACACUGGGACUGAGACACGGCCCAGACUCCUACGGGAGGCGGCAGUAGGGAAUCUUCGGCAAUGGGGGCAACCCUGACCGAGCAACGCCGCGUGAGUGAAGAAGGUUUUCGGAUCGUAAAGCUCUGUUGUAAGCCAAGAACGGGUGUGAGAGUGGAAAGUUCACACUGUGACGGUAGCUUACCAGAAAGGGACGGCUAACUACGUG
rnacentral:rRNA from 1 species